CUGCAGCCAAGAAGAGUGCCUGACGAGCCCAGCUACUCCACCCUGCCUGCACUCUCUUCUUCACCUUUCUUGGCACUGUCCGUUGCAUUGAUUGGUUGAUCCCAGAUCACAAUGUGCAAACAAACAUAAUCUGAGAAGUCUCCUGCUUGACCUCGUCCAUCACCACUCCAAACAAGACUCAAUUCCUUAUGUAAUCCCACCCUCCUACACAACCUUCACAUACUUAUCUGCCACUCCCUAAUGCAGUGAUCAUGAUUUAACUCUGCAUGUACCAAAGAGUGAAACAUGUAUGUCUCUGGUGUUUCAAAAGCAGCAAACAUUUCUCCAAGAGAGAAUUUUAAAGCAGUGCUUUUCUUUGUCACUGACUGUAAUCUGCAGUUUUUCUGAACUGUCCUACAUCGAUGUCCUUAGUGAUGGGGUUGGGUUAUUGAUCUGCUACUCACAAAGCUGAAGCCAAAACAGCAAAUUGUUGUUUUUCCUGUCUUAGUUUAAUAACUGCAACCAAAGUCUUGUGUUUUCUUUGAAACACAACAGUCUUAAGUAUACU